AGUGAACGCUGGCGGUAGGCCUAACACAUGCAAGUCGAACGGCAGCACAGUAAGAGCUUGCUCUUACGGGUGGCGAGUGGCGGACGGGUGAGGAAUACAUCGGAAUCUACUUUUUCGUGGGGGAUAACGUAGGGAAACGUACGCUAAUACCGCAUACUACCUACGGGUGAGAGCAGGGGAGCUUCGGACCUUGCGCGAUUGAAUGAGCCGAUGUCGUAUUAGCUAGUUGGCGGGGUAAAGGCCCACCAAGGCGACGAUCCGUAGCUGGUCUGAGAGGAUGAUCAGCCACACUGGAACUGAGACACGGUCCAGACUCCUACGGGAGGCAGCAGUGGGGAAUAUUGGACAAUGGGCGAAAGCCUGACCCAGCAAUGCCGCGUGGGUGAAGAAGGCCUUCGGGUCGUAAAGCCCUUUUAUUAGGAAAGAAAAGAAGCAGGAUAAUCCCCGGCCGUCCUGACGGUACCUAAAGAAUAAGCACCGGCUAACUUCGUG
rnacentral:rRNA from 1 species